ACAGAGCCCGUGAAUCCGGGCGCGCGGAAUUCAGGACCGACGGCGGGCGCGCGAGCGUGCGUCGUCGAUUCGAUAUUUCCGCCGCCGACCCGUUAUAGCGGGUGCGGACGUCGCGACCCGUUCGCCGCCGGUCUCACGGGGCGCGUUUCAAGUUCGUCGCGCGUCGUCGCCGGCGAGCGUCUCGGCGUUCGCCGGGCCUAACGACGACGACGCGGCGAUGGCGCGUUUCUUCGGGCCGGCGUUUUGCGGACGGUAGCCUCGAGCGUGCGGGUAAUCGACGCGGCCGAUCGGCGUGCGUCGUGCGGCGCCUCGCGCGUCGCGCGGCGUACGUCGGGCGCGCGCGUCGACGCCGGUCAGCGACGAAUCUUCGGGCCUCUUUCCGACCCGUCUUGAAACACGGACCAAGGAGUCUAACGUGCGCGCGAGUCGCGGGGUAUCCGAGUCGGUAACGGCGACUCGUCACGAUACGAAACCCGUGUGUACGUACGUUGUGCGAAGGCGUAAUGAAAGUGAAAGGCGCGCGCUCCUCUUUCGGGGGGGGCGCGCGCGUCGGGAAGACGGCGUUUCCGAGUACACGUUUCUCGGUCGUACGGUACCGAGACCGGGCGCCCGCAUUCCCAGGGCGUCCCGCUCGUACGUCGGUGAAGCGCGCGCGGCUCGUUCGCGCGCGUCCGCCGACGAACUGGGGCGCACCUCUAGCGUGCACGUUGGUACCCGAAAGAUGGUGAACUAUGCCCGGCCAGGAU
rnacentral:rRNA from 1 species